rnacentral:rRNA from 1 species
GGGUGAGUAACGCGUGGGUAACCUGCCUUGUACUGGGGGACAACAGUUGGAAACGACUGCUAAUACCGCAUAAGCGCACAGCUUCGCAUGAAGCAGUGUGAAAAACUCCGGUGGUACAAGAUGGACCCGCGUCUGAUUAGCUGGUUGGUGAGGUAACGGCCCACCAAGGCGACGAUCAGUAGCCGGCCUGAGAGGGUGAACGGCCACAUUGGGACUGAGACACGGCCCAAACUCCUACGGGAGGCAGCAGUGGGGAAUAUUGCACAAUGGGGGAAACCCUGAUGCAGCAACGCCGCGUGAGUGAAGAAGUAUUUCGGUAUGUAAAGCUCUAUCAGCAGGAAAGAAAAUGACGGUACCUGACUAAGAAGCCCCGGCUAACUACGUGCCAGCAGCCGCGGUAAUACGUAGGGGGCAAGCGUUAUCCGGAUUUACUGGGUGUAAAGGGAGCGUAGACGGUUUUGCAAGUCUGAAGUGAAAGCCCGGGGCUUAACCCCGGGACUGCUUUGGAAACUGUAGGACUAGAGUGCAGGAGAGGUAAGUGGAAUUCCUAGUGUAGCGGUGAAAUGCGUAGAUAUUAGGAGGAACACCAGUGGCGAAGGCGGCUUACUGGACUGUAACUGACGUU